GCCUUCGUAGUGUAACGGUAGCACACUUGGUAUUCGAGAGGUCCGGGUUCAAGUCCCGGCAAGGGCA
rnacentral:tRNA from 1 species